UACGGGGGGGGCAAGCGUUGUUCGGAAUUAUUGGGCGUAAAGGGUGCGUAGGCGGUAUGUUAAGUUUGUUGUUAAAUCCUCUGGCCUAACUGGGGGGCGGCAAUGAAAACUGGCAUGCUAGAGGGUGAGAGAGAGAAGUGGAAUUCCCGGAGUAGCGGUAAAAUGCGUAGAUCUCGGGAGGAACACCAGUGGCGAAGGCGGCUCACUGGCCCGGUACUGACGCUGAGGUGCGAAAGCGUGGGGAGCAAACAGG
rnacentral:rRNA from 1 species